rnacentral:lncRNA from 1 species
UCCGGGGGGAAUCGUCUCUCCAUCUUCGUGCUCUGCCCCGCAAGCGAAGACCUCUUCUUUUCCCACCUCGGCCAUGGAGUCUCCCACCGCCCUCCCGAAGAGCCCACUCUCUCUCUCUCUCUCUCUCCUUUCUUCUCUCUCUUCACCGAGGGUGGUGGGUUCCAUGGCCACUGCCCUCUACCCCACCACAUCCCUGUAUUCUACGCCCCCCGUAAGGGUGCUGUCGCCACCGGUUGUUUCAGGCCCACCGUGAUGGGGACAGCAGUGGCAGUCGCAGCCACCAGCCCACCUCGCCGUGAAUCAUCCAAGAAAAAGGAAAACUGGA